GCCUCUUUUCUUUUAUGGUUUUUCUCGACAAAGCUACGAACCCUUCAACAUUUUUCUAACUCCUUUUUUAUCCUUCUAUCAAUCCUGAUUCUUUCUCAGGCCAGGUAUAGUUGAAAUUUUUAUUUUUUGUUUCCAUAAUCAUGUUCGAUUUAUUGUGGGUAAAGCUAGGUCACCCCUAGUCUUAGUUUUGACGUUCGCGAACGGUAAUGGGGGCUCUCCUUCAACGUUCUUCGAGCUCAUUUUUUUCUUCUCUCAACUCUAAUUCUUUCUCAGGCCAGGUAUUGUAGAAGUUUUUACUUUUUUAUUUCCAUAAUCAUGUUCAAUUUAUUGUGGGUAAAGCUAGGUCACCCCCUUUUUUUGCCUUUAAUUUGAACAUUCCUUCGUGUGUUUGUUAGAGGCUGUCAUGUGUUUGUUGAAAUGUCCAAAUAUGAUAUUCUUGUGGUGCUCCACUGUUGUUUCAUUUUUUUAUCGGUUUUGUAACCUACCUUUGUCUAGGCAUAUUUUUUUUGGUUGCAACAGCCUCCAUAGAUUGAAUUGGUUAAUAUUUUACCUUCAAUAAUUGAAGCUAAAUCACAUGUAAAAGGAUAGUUGUGGCAGUCAACCUUUUUAGAGAAAAAAUGAAUAUGUCGUUUUGUGAGUAUCGAGUCUGCUUGCUAGACUUUAGUGAAAGCAAUGUGAAACAUUUAACAAAAGAGUUAAUGUAAUACUUGCUGACAAGUGAAAACAAUGUGAAGCCUUUAACAAAAGAGUUAAUUGAAUAUUCGGAAGCAAGAGAUCAAGAAUUUAAGGGAGUUCUUACAGCCAAGAUUUGCUCCCUUGUUAAAAAGUAUCUUUUUUGUUGGUGGAGGGAUGCUGAAAUAUUUAUUCGGAAUUACUUUGGAUUAUUGCCCAGUUGAUUAACAAUCAUUUUUAUUGCCUCAGGUUUGCCCCAAAGAGAAUUUGGUACAUUGAUCAGAUGCUAAGGUUCUUUCUGAUUCUUACAAACCGGGAUAUAUUGUGCCACCACCUCCUCCUCCUCAGCCAGAGGUUACUACAAUUGAUAUCAG